rnacentral:piRNA from 1 species
CACUGUUUCAAUGUGGUCCAGGAG